rnacentral:rRNA from 1 species
AUUGAACGCUGGCGGCAUGCCUUACACAUGCAAGUCGAACGGUAACAGGGAGCUUGCUCCGCUGACGAGUGGCGAACGGGUGAGUAAUGUAUCGGAACGUACCAUUCAGUGGGGGAUAACGUAGCGAAAGUUACGCUAAUACCGCAUAUUCUGUGAGCAGGAAAGCAGGGGAUCGCAAGACCUUGCGCUGAUUGAGCGGCCGAUAUCAGAUUAGCUAGUUGGUGAGGUAAAGGCUCACCAAGGCGACGAUCUGUAGCGGGUCUGAGAGGAUGAUCCGCCACACUGGAACUGAGACACGGUCCAGACUCCUACGGGAGGCAGCAGUGGGGAAUUUUGGACAAUGGGCGCAAGCCUGAUCCAGCAAUGCCGCGUGCAGGAUGAAGGCCUUCGGGUUGUAAACUAGCUUUUGUUACGGAGCGAAAAGGCUCUCUCUAAUACGGGGAGUUCAUGACGGUACCGUAAGAAUAAGCACCGGCUAACU